rnacentral:rRNA from 1 species
CUACGGGUUGCAGCAGUGGGGAAUAUUGCGCAAUGGAGGCAACUCUGACGCAGCCAUGCCGCGUGCAGGAAGAAGGCCUUAUGGGUCGUAAACUGCUUUUAUUUAGGAAUAAACCCCCGAACGUGUUCGGGGCUGAAGGUACUAAACGAAUAAGCACCAGCUAACUCCGUGCCAGCAGCCGCGGUAAUACGGAGGGUGCAAGCGUUAUCCGGAUUUAUUGGGUUUAAAGGGUGCGCAGGCGGGCUAUUAAGUCAGUGGUGAAAUCCCGGGGCUCAACUCCGGAACUGCCAUUGAUACUGAUAGUCUUGAGUUUGGUUGAAGUGGGCGGAAUGUAGCAUGUAGCGGUGAAAUGCAUAGAUAUGCUACAGAACACCAAUCGCGAAGGCAGCUCACUAAGCCAAAACUGACGCUCAUGCACGAAAGCGUGGGGAUCAAACAGGAUUAGAUACCCCAGUAGUC